rnacentral:rRNA from 1 species
GACGAACGCUGGCGGCGUGCUUAACACAUGCAAGUCGAGCGGAUCGGCGAUCGGGUGAGUAACGCGAGAGUAUCUGCCCCUCUCUCUGGGAUAACAGUUGGAAACGGCUGCUAAUACUGGAAAGUGGGGGUUGGGUGGCGUCCAAUCAGCUUGUUGGUGGGGUAGUGGACUACAAAGGCGACGACGGGUAGCCGGUCUGAGAUGGCGACAGGCCACAUUGGGAUGGGGUACGGGCCAAACUCAUACGGGAGGCAGCGGUGGAGAAUAGUGCGCAAAGGGGGAAAUCCGGAUUCAGCAACGCCGCGGGCGAGAGGACGGCUUUCGGGUUGUAAACCGCUUUCAACCAUAAAGCGGUAGUGACAGAAGAAGCAACGGCUAACUACGUGCCAGCAGCCGCGGUAAUAC